ensembl:lncRNA
GUACUCCAUGCUUGCAUGACAAGAGCAGAAUACCAGUGCGUGUUUAGAAAGAAGUCUUUCCAGGAGAAAAAUUGGUUCUUAGUGGGCAGAAACAGAUGUGGAUGACUUUGAAAACUGGCAAAGGGACAGUGAAUUGGACUCUGCAACAGGAAUGGGAUGCAGAACAGUGCAACAGAGUGUCCUGCAGCAAAACGAGACGGACCUUCAUGCAGUGUCAGCUCCAGCACUGGUGAGGACUGUUUGCAUUCAGAGAAGCAAUAUUCAACAUUUGUUGUUUCAAUACCUGAAGUUGUGACCACUGAAAACUUGGAGGAGCUGCUUCAUUGAGCACGGAGCUCGUGACGAGAGGCCUGAAAGCAGGAAUUCAGAGCUCCUACUAACAAAUGGAAAAGAAACUUUGGAGUGUGGACCUAAGUAAUAGAAUCAUCAAAUCAUUUAGUUUGGAAAAGACCACUGAGAUCAUCUAGUCCAACCAUCAACCCAUCCCCACCAUGGCCACUAACCAUGUCCCUCAGUGCUACAUCUACACAUUCCUUGAACACCUCCAGGAAGUGACUUCACCACCUCCCUGGGCAGCCUGUGCCAAUGCAUCACCACUCCUGAGAAGAAAAUUUUCAUAAUAUCCAACCUGAACCUCCCCUGGCACAAUGUAAGGCCAUUCUGUCUUGACUUAUUGCUGUAACCUGGGAGAAGAGGCUGACCCUCACCCCAUCACAACCUCCCUUCAGGAAGUUGUAGAGAGUAAUAAUGUCUCUCCUGAGACUCUAGUCAUGGGUAGGACAACCCAACCUACAAAGAUAAAAGUGAACAUCACAAUUAUUUACAAUAUUUACAAUGACUUUAGACAGAAAUCUGAGUCAAAUCAACCCAUGGAAUUGCUUUGCUUCUAAAACUUAAUAUACAUUACAGUUAAACCACAAUAGUAAAAUCCCCACUAAACAUGAGGAAAGGGAAAUGGCAAGCUGACUGCAGUAAGAUGUAAAAGCUUGUCUGAACUCAGAUGUGCCCUAUGUGGUUCCUGGACACAGGGCAGUUUCCAUGAAAUGCCCCACAUCUGACCCUUGGACAAAAUGUCACCUCAUCUAAUCUGUCUGGUGGGACCAAGCCCAGACUGUGCUAACCCCCUAGAUGUGCCUAAAGAUGGGUUGAGAGAAGAACUCUGAGUGCCUGUAUCUAGGAACACUCCUUCAAAGUGUUUAAUUUCCUAGAAUUGUAAAGUCAUUUGAGCUGGAAGGGACCCUUAAAGACCAUCUAGUCCAAGUCCCCUGCAAUGAACAGGGACACUUACAGCUAGAUCAGGUGCUCAGAGCCCCAUCCAGCCUGACCUUGAAUGUCUCCAGAGACAGAGCAUCCAUCACCUCUCCAGGCAACUUUUGCCACUGCCUCGCCACUCUUGUUAUAAGAAAACUUUUUCCUUAUAUCCAAUCGAAACCUCCCCUCUUCUAGUUUGAAACCAUUUCCCUUUGUUCUGUCACAGCAGACCCUGCUAAAGAGUCUGUCCCCUUCUUUCUUACAGAUCCCCUUUAGAUAUUGAAAGGCCACUCUCAAAUAUCCACAAAGAGAGGGGAAACUUUCUCCUCUCCAGGCUGAACAGCCCCAGCUCUCUCGGUCUGUCCUCAUAGGAGAGGUGUUCCAUCUCCAGGAUCACUGUUGUGGCCAUCCUCUGGAUGUGCUCCAACAGGUCUGUGUCUCUCUUGUACUGUGGACUGCACAUCUGGAUGCAGUACUCCAGGUGAAGUCUUACCAACACAGAGCAGAGAGGAAAAUUUCUAGUCUUCACAUAUUGUAAGUAUUAAUAAGGGAAUUUCCUAGUAUUAGCACAACAAAAGAGGAAAUAUUAAAAUAAUAGCUGAUUAUGUGUGUGUAUGGGUAAUGCAGUCAUGAAAAACCCUUCAAGUCUAACGUUUUGUUGUCUCUCUAAGUACAUGCUCUUGAUUUUUGCAGUCAUUCGCUUUAACUACAGUCACAAGAACCUAGAACAGAGAGAAUGAAGUUCUGGACAGCAAAUAAGGAAGUAUUUGUAGUGAGUGUUGGCAGAACUGACACCACACCAGGUCACAGCCAUGUAUUACAGUCCAGCAUCCCUGGGGCAAGACUCCAAUAGCAAACUGGAAAGAUGCAGAUAGUUCAGCUUCCUGAAGCUGGCCCCAGUCCCACCACUCCCUGAACCCUGUCCAGCCCAGCUUCUGCCUAUGCUGCUACCCCUGGGGCCCAUCCAUCAGCAGGUUGUGUCCUCAUCACCCACCUCCUGCCUCCAGCUGCCCUCCUGCUGCCCCUCCCUCGCCAUGAGUCACAUCCUUCCUUCCUCCGCCUCUGUUUUCCCUCUGGCCUCAGCCCCAAUCUAUUUGAGCCAAUAUCCUUUCCUCCACCAUCAAUGAGCUUCAGCCUUCUUGGCAUUCUUUUCCUCUCCUUCUCUUUCCUUUGCCUCUUGAGGGGCUCGCACUGCAAAGCAGUCCAUUCUGGCUGUGCGUCCCGGCCCCAGCCCUGAGCCACACAGUGGUCAGUGCCCUCCCUGUCAUCAGGGCAGCUGGAGUGGGACCAGAGGAAGGAGAAUGCUUGGCAACCAUGCUGAGAAAAUGGAAGUCCCCACCCAACAAGAACAAACCUCUCCUCUCUCCCGCUGGUGUUUAGAAAUGGGAAAAAUUUGGACAGAUGUUCACGGGGCAGAAAAAGUGCAGCUCAGAAGCAGAAUGUUUUGUCAAAGACUUGUUUCUCCAAGUCUUGCUCUCUGCAGUGCUAGAAAUGUUUGGGCAGCAAUGUUCAAAACAGACAGCAGCAGUAACAAAUGCUGCCUGAAGCAAAAAUCCAGCAUAGAAAUUUUUCUUAACUGAAUGGGCACAAUUCUACAAGAGCUUGAAAAACAGCAUGUAUGGGACUGUCAGCACUCAUUCCAUACCGAAGCACUCUCAUAAUAUAGGUAACAUGGGUGACCAGAGCCUAUCCAAUUUAAUGCUGAAUGGAUUAGCUGUUUCAAUACCACAUUUGAAAUGUUUAUACAAAUGCUGGGCUCUCACAUAAUAAAGUGGUUGUGUAUUUUUUUCCUUUUAAGCUGAUUCUUCCAUACCAAUGCUGUACCAUAGCCUAAAGUAAUUUAAAUGAUUGACUAGCAGAAUGUGCUAAUAGCUUUGAUUAGCUUCAUUUAUUUGCAUAUAAUUAUUUGCUAAUUUCUCUGCAGUAAUUAGAACUGUGGCACAUUGCUGACAUGACUUUUUUUAAACAAGAAUGCUUUCAGUAAUAUUCCAACCUGUUUUAUGAUUCCCGACCGAUGCCUUCCAUAAAGAAAUCAGUGUCAGGAAAGAUGUUUCUGAAACAAAUACACAACUCUUGAUUUUGAGCAGUCACUGAGCAGUCAUAGCAGGUUGUGCUGUGGCUGUAUAUGUUAAAAAUCCAGAAGACCAGGAAAUACUAAAGUGACCCAAAGUUCUGCACAAAGUCCCAAAUAGUUUGGAAGAAAACACUGGUAGAAAAUAAUGCAAUACUGUAAUAAAUGUAUUUCAGUUGAUAAUUCCAUUUGUGGUAUUUAGGUGCAUCUACUCAAGUUAGUAAAUUACUAAUUAUGCAUACUGCAUUUUUUCUUACCAACUUUGGAGGCUACUUAGUGUAUUUUCUUAUCUCUUGUUAACAUCAGGUUAAUGUAGAAUUCUAAACCCAGUUCAUAGAAUCAUAGAAUCCUUAGAGUUGGAAGGGACAUCUGAAGGCCAUCUAGUUCAGCUCCCCUACAAUGAACAGGGACACCACAAUUAGAUCAGGUUGUCAACCUUGCCUUCAAAGUCUCCAGGGAUGGGGCAUCAGUCAUAACUCUGGGCAACCUGUUCCAGUGCCUCACCACUCUCACUGUAAAAUACUUUUUCCUUAUAUCUAACCUAAAUCUGCCCUCUUUGAGCUUUAAGCCGUUUCCCCUUGUUCUAUUAUCAAAAACUGCUAAAGAAUCUGUCCUUUCUGUAGCUCCCCUGUAGGUACUGAAAGGCCGCUGUCAGGUCACCUUACAGCCUUCUCUUCUCCAGGCUGCGCAGCCCCAGCUUUCCCAGCCUGUCCUUGCAGGGGAGGUUUUCCACCCCUGGGAUCAUUUUUGUGCCCCUCCUCUGGACGCUCUCCAACAGGUCCACAUCUCUCCUGUACUGAGGACUCCACAUCUGGACACAGUACUGCAGGUGAGGUCUCACAGCACAGUAGAAUGGUAGGAUCACCUCCCUCACCCUGCUGGCCACCAGUUUGUGCCUGUGUUCCUGCAAGACAGAAGGAUAAAAGUCAAGGGCAAAGAAACUCUCUUCUGGAAAUCAUGACUGGACAAACAUAAACUUUCCUGGAUGCUUUGCCAGCUACCUGACAAUUUUAAAUAGAAGACUGAACAGGUGAAGAAACCAAUCAAAGUCAGCACUAAUGCUGCUGCCUAAACAGUUUAGCUGUCUUUGCUCCAUUUCUCCCACAGCUAUUGCUGACUGUGACUAUAGAUAAGUUGGCAAGGAUGGAGGUCACCAAAACAAGAAAUGCCUUCAUAAUUAAGGGCUCAAUAUGCUUCACAAAUACACCUUCUUCUGCACCUGCUGCCAAAGAGCUGUGGAUCUGUGAUAUCUUGUAAAAAUAAAUUAAGAAACCUGAAAGGCUCUCCUUGUAAUCUAAAUGUGGAAAUGAAGAUGUAGAAUGAGGAUGAAACUCCUAAUUACUCUCCCCAAGCUCAUACUUGCAGCAUAAUCAAAUCUGUCUACCGGGGCAAUCUGCACUUAAUCAAUUGAAGUGUGAUACAACCUUGCUCUUCACGAUACUGUGAAGCUAGGACUAAAAAAAGCCCUGUCAUUGUUAUGAGUGUAUUUUCAAGGCACAGAAUUAGCGAGCUCUGCUCUCCAAAAUGAGCCCCUCAACAUUUAAUUAACUGUAGUACAUGGAAAACAUUUGUUGUGGUUUGUGUCCAGCUAACAGCUGAUCCUGCCAACAACCAGGACUACACUGUCCUGAGAGCAGUCUGCCAUUGGGAUUCCUUAUUCCAACACACUUAUUUCUUGGUGAGAUGUGAAGUUCUCUAUUUGUUUUAAUGCAAACAGUGAGUUAUUCAGUAAGGAAGCAAAGCACUUUACAUUCUUGCCAUGUCUCAAAGCCUGAAGAAAAACCCACUUUUUUCCCACUCUGUAAUUGAGGAUUUUCAUGAUAGCCGAGCUGAAAACCUAUGUAUAGUAUCAGUCUAUGCUUCAAGGCUUUGGACAAGUUUUGGCCUUUGGUUUGUUUGGACAAGUAGCAGAAUUCAGUUGGAUUUGUACUUAAAUGGCAGGGCAGCUCCUCUCAAUGUCACAUUGGGAAUUGGAGGCUUGAGAAGCAGGCUUUUCCCCAACGAUUCUCUUGCAUUUUAAUUACAGGGAUGUGAAAAAACAUCUGUCUGGGAUUUUAUGACUUCUGUUUCCAACUGAAAUUGGAAAAUGCAAGGACACACAAGAGGAGAAGAAGAUUUCAGCCUUCUGAACCUGUAGCUUUCUGCCACCACGUUGGCAUUUAGAAGCAAAGACUGUGCACAUAAAGUCAGCCCCUGCAAUGAGUACGGAGAAGACAACACCAUGUUCUUAGGCUGAGAAGAGUACUUGAAUAGAUGGCAUCAUUUAAAAAAAGAGUCUCUUUUGUCUAUAAUAAAAUAUUAAUUCAAUAUUUUGCAUUAGCUGUUCUUAUUUCCUUAUGUGCAGCAUUAUUUCUUACAGUUCUGGUAUAUUCUAAUAACUCUUCAAACUUAGGAGGGAAGACAUGCUUCUAAAAACUUCUUGCUAAUGGAGCAGUGAAAUUACAAGAUAGUCAUCUUAAUGCCACCGAGUUACAGCACUUUCCUGUUUACUAAAAUCGUUUGCUUUUCUUUUUCCAAAUGGCUUUGUUUUCCCCUUAGAUUUUCCAUCUCAGCAUGCUCUGCUGCAGAAAUAAACAAAUGAACACAAUGCUCUGGUGUGGCCCAAUCCUGGCUCUGCUUUAGCUGCCUCUGGGAAGUCUGCACGCUAUUUCAGCGCUCGGGUAUGUCAGCGCGAUUUCAGUAGGGUUGAGAUCCUUAAAGGAUAUCUGCCUAGGCCACUGUAUUAUUUAUGUCACUGUACAGCAAAACAAAUAAGGUGAGGCUUAAAACACAGGAAAAGAUAAUAGCAGGUCGUUUGUCAGCAGAGUUUUGAGAAGCCUAGUAACCUCUAACAUUUGAAAGAGCAUGGCACGUAUGUGGUGCUUCCAUGAAACCUUUUGUGGACUCCAGGCUAGCCCUGAUGACAGAAGAUUUUCCCCUCUUGGCAAAAUGAUCUGGUUUGCCUGGUGAUGUGGGAGCUGUGGCAAGGUGACCGGUCUUCUGAUGGUGAUGCAGGUGGUGAUGGUGGUAGUGGGGAAUGUUUCUUCCAGCCACUGAAUGCUGCUGCAGCCUACAGUUGAGACCAGGUAAAAUGUUAGCCAUGCAAUGUGUUUUACAGUGGAAAACAUGUAUUUGCUUGCAUAUUUAUGACCAAUUUAUUCUGUGCUUUUUGAUUUCAUGUGUUGUGUUCCUGGGCAGGGCUUGUAACCACACACCCCCUGGCAGUUCUCCAGGCAUGAUUAACUGCUGCAUUUACUCAUCUCUGUGGAUGAAAGAAGCCUACCCACACAAACUGCAGACCACUACGAAGUGCUAUUUAGCUAUUAGAAGGUUUCCUGAGUCAAAAUGUACAGCAGCAGUUUUAACGUUUUAUCACAGGAUCUUCUACUUUGUUGAAAACUGAGCAACCAUACCAGCUGAGACCGGAGUCCCACCUCACUCCAUAUACUGUCUCAAACCUCUGGAAAUCACUAUGGAGAAAUGCAGACAAAGCUAUAUGCUUCAGGACAGAAAGGUCAAGUUCAGCCCGUCCACUUUCCAGCCAGAAGCGGCGGCUGCUUGGGAACACAAAGUAUAGGAAAACAGAAACUGCAUCUCUAGCUGAUUCCAUUUUAAACAUCACCUGUAAAAUAAAACUCAAACCAAGAGCACAAAGCCUGGUUUGUCCGAGAAAACGUGACAGUCCCACAGAAGAAAGCAGCCCCUUCCUGGCCGACGGAUGUACCCUGAUGGAAACCACCCGAGCCAGCAAACACCGGGAUGCCUCACCGCGAAGGGAGGAAGGCGGGGAUGCCGGGGCACGGCUGGCGCCCGGUUAACGCAGCUCCCAGCUCUGCAGCAGCCGCGCUCCGCCCUGGCUGCCGGGGCAGCCCGCGGGCAGCUCCCAUCGCGAGCGCGUAGGGCCGUUCGUGGAGCUCUGAGUCACGCGAACCAAGCGCUCCGCUGAUGCAGCUAUUAGGAUGCCUGAUAAAUAUUUAUAGCCCCUCACCGCGGAGCUGAUUGACAGCACGGGGGCAAUCCCUACCGGCAGCCGCAGGCAGCCGCCUCGGGGACGGGAG